rnacentral:rRNA from 1 species
AGUGAACGCUGGCGGUAGGCCUAACACAUGCAAGUCGAACAGCAGCACAGUAAGAGCUUGCUCUUACGGGUGGCGAGUGGCAGACGGGUGAGGAAUACAUCGGAAUCUACUUUUUCGUGGGGGAUAACGUAGGGAAACUUACGCUAAUACCGCAUACGACCUACGGGUGAAAGCAGGGGAUCUUCGGACCUUGCGCGAUUGAAUGAGCCGAUGUCGGAUUAGCUAGUUGGCGGGGUAAAGGCCCACCAAGGCGACGAUCCGUAGCUGGUCUGAGAGGAUGAUCAGCCACACUGGAACUGAGACACGGUCCAGACUCCUACGGGAGGCAGCAGUGGGGAAUAUUGGACAAUGGGCGCAAGCCUGAUCCAGCCAUACCGCGUGGGUGAAGAAGGCCUUCGGGUUGUAAAGCCCUUUUGUUGGGAAAGAAAAGCAGCAGGUUAAUACCCCGCUGUUCUGACGGUACCCAAAGAAUAAGCACCGGCUAACUUCGUG